AGGGUUUGAUUCUGGCUCAGGAUGAACGCUGGCGGCGUGCUUAACACAUGCAAGUCGAACGAAGCACUUAUCUUUGAUUCUUCGGAUGAAGAGGUUUGUGACUGAGUGGCGGACGGGUGAGUAACGCGUGGGUAACCUGCCUCAUACAGGGGGAUAACAGUUAGAAAUGACUGCUAAUACCGCAUAAGACCACGGAGCCGCAUGGCUCAGUGGGAAAAACUCCGGUGGUAUGAGAUGGACCCGCGUCUGAUUAGGUAGUUGGUGGGGUAACGGCCUACCAAGCCAACGAUCAGUAGCCGACCUGAGAGGGUGACCGGCCACAUUGGGACUGAGACACGGCCCAA
rnacentral:rRNA from 1 species